AGCUAACAGCUGGAAGUAGAAACGUAGGCUAUGCCUUUUCCAACACAGCUUGUUAGGUACACCUAUUUAGAAUCCCUGUGCCAAAAUCGGGGACUUGUGUGCGUUCACAGAUUUCAGCCAACACAGCAAUUUUCAUUUGUGAUCAAAACUCUAAAAGGAGACAUCAUGACGUCCAUUCCAAGCCAAGCCAUCAUAUUGUUAAUCUUGCAAGGCAUGGAACUGUUUUCGGCAAAGGCACUGAAGCUCUUUCUACAGCUGCUGCCUCUUUCGGCUCUAACAGCGCUCGUGUUUUUCAGAUAUUUCCCGCCGCCAUGUCGCCAGAGGAAGCUGCUAACAACAUGGCUGCGACUAGCUAUGACCCUGUGCAUCUGUUCGAUAUUGACCAUGAUGAGCCGUCUGCUGCCCUGGUGCUAAACACCGACUAACAAGCAGGCACACGCCAGACAUUAAUGUACAGCACAAACAGCCAACCACAACGUCCAUAAUCUCAUGAAAGCUCUAAGGCAACAAGUACAUUUUAAGGAUAAUUGAGGAAAACAAGAAAAGACACCCUCACAAAACUGGUUUGAAGUUAGAAUAAAACAACAAACAAAAGCCUUAAAUAGUAUGUUCUUAAAAUCUUGUUAGCUUGGCCCAAUUACCCAUAAUAAUUGCUGUAGAUAACACAGCUGCAAUGGCUUAAAGGCAUUUACAAUAUCAAUUAUACUUAUUCGUACACUGGCUUCAGAUGUACUUAUAUAGCUAUGCAGAUUCAUUAACAAUCGCACACUUUAGCUGCCAAAAAAAAAGAGCUCCAAUCACUUUUCAACUAUUUUUAAAGCACUUUGCAGCCGCUUCACGCAUAAUCCACCAAAUGUAAGAAGGCAAGAGCCUCCGACGUGUACCUGAACCGGUAACUGAUGCCUCUCAAGAGAUGCUUUGUUCAGCUUUCGACGCGUCUGCCUGGCUGCGUUAACAGGCAGAGUAAAAGCCAAAAACUAACCACGGAUCAUUUACAUUUUUUUACUAUCACAGUUAAUGGCGAGCCAAACACCGCAGCAACCAACCACCCAACCGACCACCCAACCAACCACUCAACCACUCAACCAAGCAGCGCUGAGCAGCGUCUGGCUUGUCUAUAAAUUUGUAACUUGGCGCUUUUGUUUGCUUUGCCACAACAUCCAACUCAGCUGCCUGCCCCUGCCGAGCGCUGGCUUUUUGGAGUUAAGUGUAAAUUUAUUUUGCGGCCAGGUGGUCAGCUUGUGGACAGGAGGCGCGAGCGCCAAGGGAUGCGUUGCCUAAUUGAUAUAAAUUAAAUACAAAACGAUUAUUUAAAUUA